rnacentral:lncRNA from 1 species
UUUUUUUUUUUUUUUCUCUCUCUUUAUAUUUACAAUUUGUUUUUUUAAACAAUAAGUAAAUUGUAUAACAGGCAACCACUGCAUUAAGAGGGAAUGCAUAGACUCAGCAACGCUGAGCAUGCAGUUAGUGGAUAUCGGAAGCGUUAGAUCGUUUAUGUGUGUGACCGCGGAGAAGAAAAUCGGAACCAAAUCGGAAAAAAGAAAAACAGACCGGCGGGAAAAUUCAGAGGAUUUUUAACCGCAUCCAAGCAAAAGUGAGUCCGUUCAAGAGGGAACAAAUUCCAACAUUUAGUAUUGGAAAACUCUUAGGGAAAAUAUAGAACAGACUGGCCUCCUGGAUUUGGCCACAUUACCAUUCCCCGGCCCGCGGAAUCCUGGUCACUCACCUGCCCGGGCGCGAGCUAGUGUGUUUAGUAUGGGGGGAAAGGGGACCACAACGGCGAGAUGGAGAAAGGCACUUGGGAAAGGAGAUUCGUAAUUGUUUUGAGUCGGAUCUCAAGUAGAGUACGCCAGAGGUAGACCAUCGGCACCGUAAACUUGUCCACGUCUGUGUCGAGGAGAUGAUUGUCCGUUAGAUGUAGAGUAAAGUCCGUUGCAUUGUUUUUCAAUUAUCGUUUGUUUUUGGUAUUUGUUCGAGAUGUCCGAACAGUUGGUUUGUUGUGCGACCAGGGGGCUUGGUAAAAACACAGCCCUGGAAUGACUGGCCAGCCGGCCUAGCCCCAAAACCAAAACAGGUUCGUAACAAUCUCAGCAUAUUGAUUGCAAUAAUCAACAAGAACCAAUCAAAAAUUUGUUGGAACAAGUGCCAUUGCUUACGAUCCGAGAUCAAGAGCGUUGCAAACAAAUAAUUGUUUUAGAGACAGAAAUUCGGUCGGAAAGAAACGAUCGCUGAUGAUGGAGGAGUGGUAUCCUUCGAAACAGU